GACGAACGCUGGCGGCGUGCCUAAUACAUGCAAGUAGAACGCUGAGGUUUGGUGUUUACACUAGACUGAUGAGUUGCGAACGGGUGAGUAACGCGUAGGUAACCUGCCUCAUAGCGGGGGAUAACUAUUGGAAACGAUAGCUAAUACCGCAUAAGAGUAAUUAACACAUGUUAGUUAUUUAAAAGGAGCAAUUGCUUCACUGUGAGAUGGACCUGCGUUGUAUUAGUUAGUUGGUGAGGUAAAGGCUCACCAAGGCGACGAUACAUAGCCGACCUGAGAGGGUGAUCGGCCACACUGGGACUGAGAUACGGCCCAGACUCCUACGGGAGGCAGCAGUAAGGAAUUUUCCACAAUGAGCGAAAGCUUGAUGGAGCGACACAGCGUGCAGGAUGAAGUUCUUCGGAAUGUAAACUGCUGUUAUAAGGGAAGGAAAAAUAGAAUAGGAAAUGAUUUUAUCUUGACGGGGUACCUUAUUAGAAAGCGACGGCAAACUAUGUGCCAGCAGCUGCGGUAAUACAUAGGUCGCAAGCGUUAUCCGGAAUUAUUGGGCGUAAAGCGUCCGUAGGUUUUUUGCUAAGUCUGGAGUUAAAUGCUGAAGCUCAACUUCAGUCCGCUUUGGAUACUGGCAAAAUAGAAUUAUAAAGAGGUUAGCGGAAUUCCUAGUGAAGCGGUGGAAUGCGUAGAUAUUAGGAAGAACACCAAUAGGCGAAGGCAGCUAACUGGUUAUAUAUUGACACUAAGGGACGAAAGCGUGGGGAGCAAACAGG
rnacentral:rRNA from 1 species